rnacentral:tRNA from 1 species
GGCGAUAUAGCUAAGUGGUAAGGCAGUGAAUUGCAAAUUCAUUAUCCCCAGUUCGAUUCUGGGUGUCGCUU